rnacentral:rRNA from 1 species
UACGUAGGGGGCAAGCGUUAUCCGGAUUUACUGGGUGUAAAGGGAGCGUAGGCGGCCUGACAAGUCAGGUGUGAAAGCCCGGGGCUCAACCCCGGGACUGCACUUGAAACUGCCUGGCUAGAGUGCGGGAGAGGCAAGCGGAAUUCCUGGUGUAGCGGUGAAAUGCGUAGAUAUCAGGAAGAACACCGGUGGCGAAGGCGGCUUGCUGGACCGAGACUGACGCUGAGGCUCGAAAGCGUGGGGAGCAAAC